UUACCGUUAAUUUACGGCCUAAUUUUACGGUAGUGAACUGUUUUAUAAAUUUACAGUUUCUUGCCGUAAAUGGUUGCAUGAGUGGUGAGCGUGGGGGAGGAACUGCACUGAAAUUACUGAGUGGUAUGUGUUGGCCACUUAUUAAUAUGCAUUUUCUGUCUGGACUUGUAUUAUAAAGACUGAAUAAUUUUGAAACGUCAUCAGUAGAUGGCCAAGUACUGUUCCAAUUCAAAGUUAACUUCUAGCAAAGAACAGUUAAAAUCCUAUGUGUUCCAGUACAGUAAACGUUUGUUUUGGACUGCAUAACUCCUUUAAUAUAACCAUAAAUAAUGUCAUAAAAGGUCUGUUCAUUCAAUAAACCGGGCAAAAUCUGUAUGAACGUAUACGUAGAAAUAAUAUUGAGGACACACUGCACGAUAAUGAAACCUUUAGUUUGAUUAAAAGUCGAUUAAUAUUUCUGUUUUUAUUUUUUAUUAAAUAAAUAUUCUAUGUUGGCUCUAAACAGGCAACUUUCUUUCUUGGAAGCAGCACUGGAAGAAGCACUUUACUUUCAUCUGUUAUAUCUUUAUUUACUUUUAUUAUGUUAUUAUUGGCGGAGGCGCGUAAGGCGCGUGUCCGUAUACCGAAUGCUUUGAUCACGUGAUUAUUCAAACCAGGAGACGCGCAAUCUGGAUUAACCGCUGUUCUCCUCAGACGAGUGUUUCGGUGGUAUUAUGAGAUCCCUUUCUUGGUGUGUCUUGAUGUUUUAUAUUGGCUAAAGACAAGAUAUGUCUGCAAAUGCUGGUUCCAUGUCACAUUGCUUAUUCGAGACUAGAUCUACAAAUAACACUGCAGAUUUUGUUACCAUCAACUUGCAUUAUACAACUGACAGACUGAAACGGUUGGACUCAAAAAUCUACAUUUGUGUUCCACUGGAGAAACAAAGUCACCUACAUCUUGGAUGGCCUGGGGACUACCUGACCUGUUCCUGUUAAGAGCUAGUCACUCUUUGUGGAAUGUUCCUGGCCCAUUUUUCCCAAGUUUUUACAAAAGUUUUUUCAAUGACCUCAAAAUUGAUGUGUAAAAAUUAUAAUAAACUUGAAUUUGUUUAAA